rnacentral:rRNA from 1 species
UACGUAGGGCGCAAGCGUUAUCCGGAAUUAUUGGGCGUAAAAAGCUCGUAGGCGGUUUGUCGCGUCUGCCGUGAAAGUCCGGGGCUCAACUCCGGAUCUGCGGUGGGUACGGGCAGACUAGAGUGAUGUAGGGGAGACUGGAAUUCCUGGUGUAGCGGUGAAAUGCGCAGAUAUCAGGAGGAACACCGAUGGCGAAGGCAGGUCUCUGGGCAUUAACUGACGCUGAGGAGCGAAAGCAUGGGGAGCGAACAGG